GUCUACGGCCAUGCCAACCUGAACAAACCCGAUCCUGCCUGAUCUUGGAAGCUAAGCAGGGUCGGGCCUGAUUAGUACUCGGAUGGGAGACCACCUAGGAAGACCAGGUGCUAUAUGCG
rnacentral:rRNA from 1 species